GCCAGGAGGGGCAACGCCGCGGUGUAGGGAGGGAGCUAACUGCCCCCUUCCCCAGCAUCUGCCAACUGCCAGUAGCUCCCUAGCUAAAGGUGAGGGACUCAUGAAUUCCUUGCCCAUCCACAAUAGAAGUCUGGCUGGUGUGAUCUUGUGAAAUCCAUGUGCAAGGAACUACAGCUGCUUUUAUCCAGUUUAAGAAGAAAUACAUUUACAAUAGGGUGUGGAGUCCUUGGAUCCCAGCAAAACUGCUACUCUAACAGGAACAGCUACUCCAGGAAUGCGGGAUUCUUGUUGGACAUUUCAAUCUGUUACCCAACCGGAGCAAACAAGGAAAUUGGAGACCAGAAAGUCUGUUAGUCCUGAAAUACUGCAGAAUAGAAACUCUAACCAACCCAUGUUCCAAAGACUCAACUUCCCAAUCUUUAGCCUACACCUUAUGCGCAAUGACUAUGUUCCACUGCUUACACUCUCCCUGUCCUCUCCACAAGGAAAGAAAUCUUAACUCAUUCCCUUUACUUUACUUUCUUUUUUAUAUGCCUUCCUGUUAUUCUUAGGUUUUAAAUUUUAUUUAUGUACUUAUUUAGUAUGUGUGUGUAUGUGUGUAGGCAUGCAUAUAGUCAAGUGCCACUACACACAUGCGGAGGUCAGAGGACAACUUACAGGAGGAAUAGAUUCUUUCCUUGUGAUUCUUGUGACCAAACUCAGGUCAUCAGCUUUGGUAGCAAGUAAUUUUCCCCACUGAGCCAUCUCACUGGCACUUAAUUUAUUUUUUUCUAUUAAUAAAAUGAAUAUAGUUGCAUCUAC